UGGAAGGAUAAAAGGGUGAAUUCAGCACCUAAAGCCAGAUGGAAUUGUGCCUUCCCUGAGCUCAGAACAAAACCAUCAAUAAAUAAAAGAGUACAGCAAGCUAAAUGACAUUGACCUUGAACACAAAAGAAGUCCUAAAGCACACAUCAGCUUUAUCUAAAAUGGAAAGCUGCAGAACAACUGUCUCUGAAGACAUUUAUCUUAACUUGGCAAGAGCACAGCAUCACAGGAAAGGAUGCUCGGUGUCAGAAGUCACAUAAAGUUAUGGAAUAUCUCAGAGGCAAGAAAGGUGCCAAUAAAAAAAUACAUACAUAAUGAAGAUUAAAAGUUUCAAGAUGGAAAAACAAGAGAAGCAAAGUAAAAAUAUAAUUCCACAAUAAAUAAUUUGAUUUUUAAACUUCAGUGGUGUCACCAUUCCAUUAAGAUGGGGGAAAUUGGGUCUACUGCAGAGGAAAAAAAAUUGUGUUCUAAAAGACGUUUGUCUCCCCUACAAAUAAAAUAUAUGCAUAGAAUAAAAUAACUUAAGAUCUCACAUGA